UGCAAGUGAUGUUUCUUCUCACGAUGGUCUGCUGAACCCCCGUGGUGAGGGGCUCUGAUGAAAUUGCCCAGUGGCUUAACUGAUGCUGUUUG